rnacentral:tRNA from 1 species
GCCGAAAUAGCUCAGUUGGGAAAGCAUUAGAUUAUAAACCGAAAGUCCCUGGUUCGAUCCCGGGUUUCGGCA